rnacentral:snRNA from 1 species
AACACAGCUCCGUGCUUACUCGCAUCUAUCUUUCGCCUUUUACUAAAGAUAGCCGUUAGCUACGGAGCACUGAUGUGUUACAUCAAUUUUUGGAACUUU